ACUCCUACGGGAGGCAGCAGUGGGGAAUAUUGCACAAUGGGGGAAACCCUGAUGCAGCGACGCAGCGUGCGGGAUGACGGCCUUCGGGUUGUAAACCGCUUUCAGCAGGGAAGAAGCGCAAGUGACGGUACCUGCAGAAGAAGUACCGGCUAACUACGUGCCAGCAGCCGCGGUAAU
rnacentral:rRNA from 1 species